UCAACGGUUCAGAAGAUUCCUCCGGAGCAAUUUUGCUGGCAUGGUUUUGUGAUAACUAAAGCAUUAGCCCUUGGGUUUAGAAAAGAAGUGUAUAAGCAUCUUGUUAAUUGUUUCUUGAUCAUCAGGCAAACCAUGCAUAAAUUGGUUUUCUGUCAAGCUUUCGCCUUACAUAUUUUCAUGUAGCAUACACUUAUAGUGGACACAAUACUUUUAAUUAUAAUUCUCCUUUGAUUAUAACUGAUAUUGUUUAGAGCAAUUAGAAUGAUUGAUGGUUGAAAUUAAACUAUGUUUGCUUCACUAUUUAACAUUAUUGGUUGUAAGAGCAAUUAGAAUAAUUAAUGGUUGGUUCUGAUUUAUUUAUUUAGUUAAAGAUCUAAUGUGAUUUCAAACCCUUGAUUUCUUUUGCUCUAUUUUGUCGUGCAAGAAGAUACCCUUAUUGUUAGGCUUCAUGGAUCAACGUCAAUCUGCAAAUGACAUAAGCAGUGUAAUACUAAGGCAACAAUUGCAGCUCAUUGCAUCAAGCGGAUAAAGGACAAUUAUGAAUUCAAAUUCAACAGAUAGCUUAGAUUGCUGGAAUAGUUUGAAGAGCGGAACAAAAGAAGAGAGUAUAUAUUUUUUCAGAUUUCUGAGCUCUGGAACCAUUGAAGCCCUUAAGAAAUGUGACGCUGAUAGCAUCAUGUGGUCUACAAGUAGUAUUAGACAAUGGCAUUGCUCGAGUGACAAUAUCUAAACCACGAGAGAUUGUUACUGGACUAGCUUAUAAUGGCAUUGACAAUUUGCUUGAAUCUCGAAAUCUUGAGGACCAUAGAAGCAACAACUUUUCAGGUGAUUAUGUUACAUGAUGAUCAGGUGGAAGAUUUCUUUUGUAGACAGUGGGAUCCUUCACUCAAGGGCAAGUUAUUCCCAUUGAAUAUUGAUAAAAGGUCUAUAAUGCUUCGUGGCUCAUCCAGGUCAUAUACCUAUGAAAUCUAUGAGCAUAUGAAAGAUUGACCGGGCUUCAGCUUGGGUGAAACUAAGGUCACAUUCAAGCUCAAUAAACGGUGGUAUAAAGAAACUGAUUUCUUUGGACAGGUUUCACGGCAAACCAAAUUAAUUAGAAGAAAUUUAGGCAACAAAGCAUGAUAUGUUUAGUCCUGAGGCUGUUCUGUUGACAAGCCCUGUUAAACCAAACAUUAAAGGAGAGAAGAAUCAACCAAAGUAGCAGUGACGACUUACUCAGCCAUGGCAGAUCAAAAAUGCAAAACAGCUAGACAGAAGCCAGAGUAUGUGUACUUGAAUCAGUUAAAUGCAGCAUGCAAGACUUAUAUAGUAAGAGUAG